UACGGGGGGGGCAAGCGUUGUCCGGAUUUAUUGGGCGUAAAGGGCUCGUAGGUGGCCAACUAAGUCAGACGUGAAAUCCCUCAGCUUAACUGGGGAACUGCGUGUGAUACUGGAUGGCUUGGAUUUGGGAGAGGGAUGCGGAAUUCCAGGUGUAGCGGUGAAAUGCGUAGAUAUCUGGAGGAACACCGGUGGCGAAGGCGGCAUCCUGGACCAAUAUUGACGCUGAGGAGCGAAAGCCAGGGGAGCAAACGGG
rnacentral:rRNA from 1 species